rnacentral:rRNA from 1 species
UACAGAGGUCCCAAGCGUUGUUCGGAUUCAUUGGGCGUAAAGGGUGCGUAGGCGGCGCGGUAAGUCGGGUGUGAAAUCUCGGGGCUUAACUCCGAAACUGCAUUCGAUACUGCCGUGCUAGAGUACUGGAGAGGAGAUUGGAAUUUACGGUGUAGCAGUGAAAUGCGUAGAUAUCGUAAGGAAGACCAGUGGCGAAGGCGGAUCUCUGGACAGUUACUGACACUGAGGCACAAAGGCCAGGGGAGCAAACGGG